GAUGAACGCUGGCGGCGUGCCUAAUACAUGCAAGUCGAGCGGACAGACGAGGAGCUUGCUCCUCUGACGUUAGCGGCGGACAGCUGAGUAACACGUGGUUAACCUACCUAUAAGACUUGGAUAACUUCGGGAAACCGGAGCUACUACCGGAGAAUAUAUUGAACCUGAUGGUUCAAUAGUGUAAGACGGUUUUGCUGUCACUGGUGGAUGGAUCCGCGCCGCAUUAGCUAGUUGGUAAGGUAACGGCUUACCAAGGCGACGAUGCGUAGCCGACCUGAGAGGGUGAUCGGCGGCCAUGGAGCUGAGGAGCGGCGCAGACUACUACGAGAGGAAGCAGCAGGGAAGCUUACGCCAUGGGCGAAAGCCUGCCGGAGCAACGCCGCGUGAGGGAUGAAGGUCUUCGGAUCGUAAAACUCCGCUAUUAGGGAAGAAGCAAUGUGUAAGUAACUAUGCACGUCUUGACGGUACCUAAUCAUAAAGCCACGGCUAACUACGUG
rnacentral:rRNA from 1 species